GGACGGGUGAGUAACGCGUGGGUAACCUGCCUUGUACAGGGGGAUAACAGUUGGAAACGGCUGCUAAUACCGCAUAAGCGCACAGCAUCGCAUGAUGCAGUGUGAAAAACUCCGGUGGUAUAAGAUGGACCCGCGUUGGAUUAGCUAGUUGGUGAGGUAACGGCCCACCAAGGCGACGAUCCAUAGCCGACCUGAGAGGGUGACCGGCCACAUUGGGACUGAGACACGGCCCAA
rnacentral:rRNA from 1 species